rfam:Planctomycetales bacterium 71-10 scnpilot_p_inoc_scaffold_753, whole genome shotgun sequence.
GCGGGUGUAGCUCAAUGGUAGAGUCCCUGCCUUCCAAGCAGGCUGUGUGGGUUCGAUUCCCAUCACCCGCU